UGCACCAACCGGUGUGACAUGUGUUUAUUUCGAUGCAACGCGAAGAACCUUACCUACCCUUGACAUCCAGAGGACUUUCCAGAGAUGGAUUGGUGCCUUCGGGAACUCUGAGACAGGUGCUGCAUGGCUGUCGUCAGCUCGUGUUGUGAAAUGUUGGGUUAAGUCCCGUAACGAGCGCAACCCCUAUCCUUAUUUGCCAGCGAGUAAUGUCGGGAACUCUAAGGAGACUGCCGGUGACAAACCGGAGGAAGGUGGGGACGACGUCAAGUCAUCAUGGCCCUUACGGGUAGGGCUACACACGUGCUACAAUGGCAAGUACAAAGGGUUGCAAUACGGCGACGUGGAGCCAAUCCCAUAAAGCUGCCUCAGUCCGGAUGGAGUCUGCAACUCGACUCCAUGAAGUCGGAUAUCGCUAGUAAUGCUGCCAGAGACGUCCUCUGAA
rnacentral:rRNA from 1 species